CCUAAGUGUAGUGAUGAAGUGCUGACUAGUGUUCCUAAGUGAAAGAAGGCUGUGUUGUGCCAUAUGUAGAAAAUAUGUAUAUUGGAUGUUUCUUUUAGGUCUGGGUUACAGUGCUGUUUGCCAUGAGUACAAUGUUAAUGAAUCAGUAUAUAUUAAAUAAAGUGUCUUAAACAUGCGUUAACAUAAAACACGCACACAGCAAGAUUAUGUAUUGAUCGGUCAAUAAAAAUGUAACUAGAGACUCCCAGCAACCUAACCCUGUAUUUCCCCUAGGAGCAAUGUUCAGUAUUUGCCAAUGCAGUGUUUGUGGUGACUUUAUGGAACAUAAAACUAACUCGUAAGAGAAUGACUAAUUUUUUUGUAAUAUUCAAACUCAUAUUGUCUUCCUGGCUUUUGAGAAGGCUA
rnacentral:lncRNA from 1 species